rnacentral:rRNA from 1 species
AUUGAACGCUGGCGGCAUGCUUUACACAUGCAAGUCGAGCGGCAGCGCGGGGCAACCUGGCGGCGAGCGGCGAACGGGUGAGGAAUGCAUCGGAACGUACCCGGAAGUGGGGGAUAACGCCGCGAAAGCGGCGCUAAUACCGCAUAUUCUGUACGCAGGAAAGUGGGGGACCGCAAAGCCUCACGCUUUCGGAGCGGCCGAUGUCCGAUUAGCUAGUUGGUGGGGUAACGGCCUACCAAGGCGACGAUCGGUAGCUGGUCUGAGAGGAUGAUCAGCCACCCUGGGACUGAGACACGGCCCAGACUCCUACGGGAGGCAGCAGUGGGGAAUUUUGGACAAUGGGGGCAACCCUGAUCCAGCCAUGCCGCGUGCGGGAAGAAGGCCUUCGGGUUGUAAACCGCUUUUAGCCGGGAAGAAAAGGCGCAGGACAAUACCCUGCGUUCUUGACGGUACCGGCGGAAUAAGCACCGGCUAACUACGUGCCAGCCGCCGCCGUAAAAC